ACAUAAAUAGUAUAAAAAAUAUAUUAGAUUUAGAUUCUAAAGAUAGUGAGUUAUGUU
rnacentral:tRNA from 1 species